rnacentral:snRNA from 1 species
GAGCUAAUUUUGGCAGUGUAUAUACUACAAUUGCUCCAAUGCAGAGUUUAGCAUGGCCUCCAUGCAAGGAUAACAUGCAGAUUCAUGAAGUGUUGCAUAUUUAA